GACGAACUGUCCUAACGUUGUUCGGAAUUACUGGGCGUAAAGGGCGCGUAGGCGGCCUUCUAAGUCAGACGUGAAAUCCCCCGGCUUAACCUGGGAACUGCGUCUGAUACUGGGAGGCUUGAGUAUGGGAGAGGGAUGUAGAAUUCCAGGUGUAGCGGUGAAAUGCGUAGAUAUCUGGAGGAAUACCGGUGGCGAAGGCGGCAUCCUGGACCAGAACUGACGCUGAGGCGCGAAAGCUAGGGGAGCAAACGGG
rnacentral:rRNA from 1 species